rnacentral:rRNA from 1 species
GAUGAACGCUAGCGGCAGGCUUAAUACAUGCAAGUCGAGGGGCAGCAGGUCUGUAGCAAUACAGAUGCUGGCGACCGGCAAACGGGUGCGGAACACGUACAGAACCUUCCUUCGAGCGGGGAAUAGCCCAGAGAAAUUUGGAUUAAUACCCCAUAGUACAUUGAAGAGGCAUCUCUUUAAUAUUAAAGAUUUAUCACUUGAAGAUGGCUGUGCGGCUGAUUAGGUAGUUGGCGGGGUAACGGCCCACCAAGCCUACGAUCAGUAACUGGUGUGAGAGCACGACCAGUCACACGGGCACUGAGACACGGGCCCGACUCCUACGGGAGGCAGCAGUAAGGAAUAUUGGUCAAUGGACGCAAGUCUGAACCAGCCAUGCCGCGUGGAGGAUGAAGGUCCUCUGGAUUGUAAACUUCUUUUAUAUGGGACGAAAAAGGCUUUCUAAGUCGUCUGACGGUACCAUAUGAAUAAGCACCGGCUAACUCCGU